rnacentral:misc_RNA from 1 species
GUAGGUGAACCUGCGGAAGGAUCAUUAACACGUAUCCACGUAUUAACCAAACGGUAAUUGUAUCUCCCUGGUAAUUGUUGAGCUGUUUAAUCGAAUCAUGGUGGGUAUACACUUGUGUAUACGAAUCGAUUAGACUCGGGCUUCGAGCUCAAGGCGCAACGCUUUAUCAGGCUUUCUUUCCCAUCAUACCUUUCUACCUUAAGGUAGGAUGGGGAUUUAACAAACCUAUUUCACCCUACUUAUAUACAUU